rnacentral:rRNA from 1 species
GUAGGUGGCAAGCGUUGUCCGGAAUUAUUGGGCGUAAAGCGCGCGCAGGCGGUUCUUUAAGUCUGAUGUGAAAGCCCACGGCUCAACCGUGGAGGGUCAUUGGAAACUGGAGAACUUGGGUACAGAAGGGGAAAGCGGAAUUCCACGUGUAGCGGUGAAAUGCGUAGAGAUGUGGAGGAACACCAGUGGCGAAGGCGGCUUUUCUGGUCUGUAACUGACGCUGAGGCGCGAAAGCGUGGGGAGCAAACAGGGAUUAGAUACCCUGGUAGUCCACGCCGUAAACGAUGAGUGCUAAGUGUUAGGGGGUUUCCGCCCCCUUAGUGCUGCAGCUAACGCAUUAAGCACUCCGCCUGGGGAGUACGGCCGCAAGGCUG